UGUCCAGUAGCUCUGAAAGUCAAGAUGAGUGACCGUGCGUGGAUGUAUACCGGUCACACUGGUCAGAACAAAUGGAGCGUUGAAUGGUUCACAAAAACCAAGGGGUUUGUGCAAGCCGCAUUUGCAUAUGGCCAGAAGAAAACCUGGUGCCCCUGUUUCUGGUGCGGCAAUUGGGAAAAGAAGACAGAGGCUGAAAUGGGCAAACACCUGCAGAAGAGUGGUUUUACGCCCGAUUAUACGGUGUGGACAUUUCAUGGUGAGUCUGCCCAACGUGACCGAGCUGAGGUGGAUUGUUGUCGCACCGACGAG
rnacentral:rRNA from 1 species